rnacentral:rRNA from 1 species
GAUGAACGCUAGCUACAGGCUUAACGCAUGCAAGUCGAGGGGCGAUCAGGAAGAAAGCUUGCUUUCUUUGCUGGCGACCGGCGCACGGGUGAGUAAACACGUAUCCAACCUGCCCUUUACUUCGGGGAGUAGCCUUUCGUAAAGAAAGAUUAAUACCCGAUGGGAUAAUUAUUCCGCAUGGUUUCUAUUAUUAAAGGAUUCCGGUAAAGGAUGGGGAGUGCGUUCCAUUAGGUUGUUGGUGAGGUAACGGCUCACCAAGCCUUCGAUGGAUAGGGGUUCGUGAGAGGAAGGUCCCCCACAUUGGAACUGAGACACGGUCCAAACUCCUACGGGAGGCAGCAGUGAGGAAUAUUGGUCAAUGGGCGCUAGCCUGAACCAGCCAAGUAGCGUGAAGGAUGAAGGCUCUAUGGGUCGUAAAACUUCUUUUAUAUAAGAAUAAAGUGCAGUAUGUAUACUGUUUUGUAUGUAUUAUAUGAAUAAGGAUCGGCUAAACUCCGUGCCAGCAGCCGCGGU